CAAGACUCAACUGGAGGGGUGGGAUCCAGGGCCGCUCCCACCCUUUUAACGGGACCGGGCUCCGGCCAAGGGCCCCACGUCCUGGGACUCUCCUCCUCCCUCGUUGCCCUGCAGUGGAGGCAAAGAACUCUCUGGAAUUCCUCCAUCCUACAGGCUGGACUUUGGCCGCUGUGGUGAGACUCAAGCUCCAUACCCAUGGACAGGGGAUACAGGCCAGCAUGGCCCUUCCCAGCCUGCCCACUCCUGCCUGCCCUGCCCACGGGAAGGCUGUGCCUCCUCCUCCAGCGGGCAGUGGCUGGGAGGGCUGCCAGGCCCACGGAAACACCAUCCACACCCCUCAGCCAACCUGGCUGGCCCAGCCAGGGAUGGUGGGGGUGAUCAGAGCCAGCUCCAGAGUCCUACAAGUCAGAUCGGGAAGGGACCCCAGAGAUUCUGCACCUGACCCGCUCCCUCAUUUAAUGAUGCAGAACCUGCAUCUCAUUUAAUGAUGCAGAAACCACCCUAAGAGGCUGGCCACUUGGCCAAGGUCACACAGGGAGCCAGGGCUGACCUGCUUUCCAUCUCCUGAGCCAAGGAAAGAAGAACACUGUGGUCCUGGGAUAUCUGGACCUCAAAAAAAAAAAAAAAUUUUUUUUUUCCCACUUGCUCCAUGAAG